rnacentral:rRNA from 1 species
GGUUGAUCCUGCCAGUAGUCAUAUGCUUGUCUCAAAGAUUAAGCCAUGCAUGUGUAAGUAUAAACUCUUUUGUACUGUGAAACUGCGAAUGGCUCAUUAAAUCAGUUAUAGUUUCUUUGAUGGUAAUUUGCUACACGGAUACCCGUAGUAAUUCUAGAGCUAAUACGUGCACCAACUCCCGCCUCCGGCGUUCGCGCCGGGGAAGGGACGUAUUUAUUAGAUAAAAGGCCGAUGCGGGCUUGCCCGGUGUUGCGGUGAAUCAUGAUAACUUGUCGAAUCGCACGGCCCCAGC